rnacentral:rRNA from 1 species
AGAGUUGAUCUGGCUCAGGAUGAACGCUGGCGGCGUGCCUAAUACAUGCAAGUCGAACGAGCGAGAUCCAGCUUGCUGGAUUAGCGAGUGGCGAACGGGUGAGUAAUACGUAAGCAACCUGCCUACACGGACUGGGAUAACAACCUGGAAACGGGCGCUAAUACCGGAUAGGUAACGAGAGGCAUCCUCUUGUUAUAAAGGUUUGAAACACAAGUAGAUGGGCUUACGGUGCAUUAGCUAGUUGGUGAGGUAACGGCCCACCAAGGCGAUGAUGCAUAGCCGGCCUGAGAGGGUGAACGGCCACAUUGGGACUGAGACACGGCCCAGACUCCUACGGGAGGCAGCAGUAGGGAAUUUUCGGCAAUGGGCGCAAGCCUGACCGAGCAACGGCCGCGUGAGUGAUGAAGGUUUUCGGAUCGUAAAGCUCUGUUGUAAGGGAAGAAUGGCGCGGAUAGACUCCGCGAUUGACGGUACCUUACCAGAAAGCCACGGCUAACUACGUGCCAGCAGCGGC